UACGGGGGGAGCAAGCGUUGUUCGGAUUUACUGGGCGUAAAGGGCGCGUAGGCGGCCACCGCAAGUCGAACGUGAAAUCCCCGGGCUCAACCCGGGAACUGCGUCCGAUACUGGAAGGCUUGAAUCCGGGAGAGGGAUGUGGAAUUCCAGGUGUAGCGGUGAAAUGCGUAGAUAUCUGGAGGAACACCGGUGGCGAAGGCGACAUCCUGGACCGGUAUUGACGCUGAGGCGCGAAAGCCAGGGGAGCAAACGGG
rnacentral:rRNA from 1 species